rnacentral:rRNA from 1 species
GACGAACGCUGGCAGCGUGCCUAAUACAUGCAAGUAGAACGCAGUUGCGAACGGGUGAGUAACGCGUAGGUAACUGCCUGGUAGCGGGGGAGACCUAUUGGAAACGAUAGCUAAUACCGCAUACUACCAGAUGGACCUGCGUUGUAUGAGCUAGUUGGGGGGGUAACGGCUCACAAAGGCAACGUGACAUAGCCGACCUGUGAGGGUGAGCGGCCACACUGGGACUGAGACACGGCCCAGACUCCUACGGGAGGCAGCAGUAGGGAAUCUUCGGCAAUGGACGGAAGUCCGACCGAGCAACGCCGCGUGAGUGAAGAAGGUUUUCGGAUCGUAAAGCUCUGUUGUAAGAGAAGCGGUAUCUUACCAGAAAGGGACGGCUAACUACGUGCCAGCAGCCGCGGUAAUUC